CCUAGCCACCGCUAGCGUUGCCGCGAGAUCCAGAACUAGCAAGCCCAAGAGAAGCAAGCGAGCCAUUGGCUUGGAGCAGUAUGCGUCGGUACCGAAACAAGGAGCUUCGGGUCUGGAGAUCUUGCGGGAGAGAGCUUAGUGCCUCAAGGCCUUUAUAUAAGGACAGAGGUCCUGAAAUGGUUCGUAGAGGCCUUUCUUAACGAGGGCAGGCAGUGGCAUCAUCCAUGAUGGUUCCGCCACGGUGGUCUCUUGAGCAGGUUGGCUCCAUAUUUUAGUGUCUGGAGAAGGGUGGUCAGUGGACAAGAGAGAAAGACACGGCCGCCUCCACAAGCGACAGAGGAAGCACAACUGGAUCCUCCGGAUGUGAAAGGAACUGGGGAUGGCUGAUGACAGAGGAGCACUGGGUGGCGCCGCGGUGGUGGGUGCGCCAUUUUAGUUAGUUAUUAGACCGACUGCUUCGGGAAGCGAAGAAAAGGCGCACGCAUCACGAUGACGCGUUUCUUAAUCGAGCGGUCAGCAACACUGUGGUCGGUGGACAUAAGUCAUUGGAUCUACCUUGGAAGUCUCACGUGAGGCUAUCAGACGCCGACACGCGGUCCCCGGUAAUAAAAUAGUUCUUGAUCAGACGGCUCGGACCUUUCGGUUUGUCGAAAAGGAGAAACCUUUAGUGUCUCCUCACCAACUUAGAUUUGCGACUCUUCCAUGCAUUUAUUCUGUGUGAAUAAUGUUCUGUUCGACGAUGAUCGUGCAUCGAUCUAUCAAUCUUAGACAUGGAAGCUUCCUGCGUUGUCAGCUCCUUCGUGCAGCUAAUACUUUGUUCUCUCUCUUCCAUGGAUGAUUGAUGGCAUCUUGAAUCAUGCAGCAGACAUGUUGCAGAAGCUGUCGUCGAAUCUUGAUGUUCCACGGCGUGCCCGAUGGAUCGCGGGAUCCAGAUUGCAAGAUUCCUUGCCCUGUUUCAACAUCCUAAAUCGCCGGAGAUUCUUGUUCUUCGAUUCGGUUUACUAUUGCCGGUAACUGAUGACCUACUUUGUCUUCUCACAGGCACGUCGAUGGGACGCCAAACGUUGUCCCACGGGCUUCCGCUGUCGUGUCGUUGGCGAACCCUGAACGAAGCCACCCGGAGAUGCUUCGGUGUUCCCCGACUCACCCAACAGCCCAGCUCACGACAGGCUGCCGCGGCGUCCGCCGAAAGGCGCGCUGCCGUGAACUCUCACUUCCUCGAUAGCGCGUCGCUCGUCGCAUGCUUGGUCGCGUCUUUUGUCGUGCUCCAAGGGGUGCUCUACCUUUUCCCCGAGUAUAAAGGGGGAGAGACAGAGAGAGAGAGGGAGCGCGCGUCUCAAGGAAAUUGGUGGAGGAUCCAUGAGGACCGCCGCGAAGGCCGCGUCCCUCGGCGGCUACCGAUCGGUCGGCCCGCUCGCCGGCCGUGCAGCGAUGCCUGCCGGGAGGGCUCCCAAGCCGGCCUCUUUGACCGCCUCCCCCGUGCCGCCGGCAGCCGAAGGAGGGCCGUCGAUGUCCAUCACCUCAUCCGAUAAGUGCCUCCACAAGGCGGCUACUAUCUCCACGGCGUGGGUGGGAGGAGGAGGAGCAGGGGUUCGCCCCCGAUUCGCUGCAUCCGGCCCCAAGGCUCGUGUUCGGGCCCAUCCCGACGCUGGAGGCCACUUCCAAUCUGAAAGAUGCCCUCGAGAAGUAACCUUCGUCCCCCGUCCCUCUUUCAAAUAAACCUGAUAAAAGAUUCUCCUUUUAACACAAUUGACACUGCUUCGCUUCAAUUUCGACGGUUUAGCCGCGGAAAUUUCCUUUAGGGUUUGCAUCUAAUUUGAUUGAUAUCAGUGGCUCAAUCAUGCAGUAUGUGAUAAUUCAUAUGGUUAAGCUCUUGCGACAACAGCAUACAGGGCAUGAAAUUUCCCUAAAUGAUUGCCGGUUUAAAUGUAUUGCUUAGUGCAAGAAUGACCAGUAAAUUGGAGAUAAGCGUUGAUGUAUGAAAGGGAUGUAGACAACUAUUUUAGGGUCCUCUCUGGUAAGGAUAGUCUACUAAUUGUUUGAUUUUAUUGCAGAGUGUAUUUCUCUCCAAGCACCAAUUUCCCUGCUACGGAAGUUCCUCAUAUGUCUGCCCACCAUGAAGCCUCAGGGAUUAUUCCAUCAAUGCAGGGACAUGUUGUUCGAGCAUUUUCACUGCUGCAAGGAAGUCCGGAAGUUCAGGUUCAAAAGAAUGCAACAAUAUUAGGAAUUUAUGAUGCACUUCUGCACGAACUUGGUGAUGGAUUUUGUUUUCCUUGAGCAUUUUUGUGAUUAUCUGUUAAUUUAUUGCAUAAGAUAUAAAGUUAGUGUUUUACACUGAAUGAUAGGGUAGCUGUGUUAAUAUGACUGAAAUAUUUUGAGUACUACAUAACAUGUAUUGAGAGAUUUUAAGAGAUUGUAAAUGGUAAUCAAUGAUAUUGAACAACAUUCCACAAUGUCGUAACUGUUUGGAUCAGCUUCACUGUUUUUUUAUAACAAUUGAGUUUUUUAGGCAAUAUCACUAGUUAAAUCAAGAGCAGUCAAUCUCUUUUUAUUGUCACCUUUGUCUCUUUUCUUCUCACACCACUUAUUCUGGCUGAUUCACCUUGUCAACUAUAGCAUUCAUCGGUCUUCCAUGGACAGUCAUUCAAACUUUGAGAUGUGUUAUCUAUGAAUUAAUAUGCUCGAGCUUGUGAAAAAGGCAAUAUUUUAUAUUUGAUACAUUCAAAGAAGGCAUGUCAACCUAUUUUUUGGAUACACUCUUUUAUUUUACUUCUGUUAAUUAAUUAAUGCAGUUUAGUCCAGACUUAAUCUGAUGCAGACUUAGUUAAAUGCAGUCUUACUUUAAUGCAGUCUUAGUUCUGUUAAUUUGUAAGGGCAUGUCAAGGAGUUUAAUGCAGACUUAGUUAGAAAUCAUUGGUUUAUAAUGCAUUGAACUAACAUUUAAUAGUGCACUCUAUAUUUGCUUCUGUUGGUUUGUAAGGGUUAAUGAUGAUUUUUCACUUUAAAUUUUGGACCAGUUGCCUUUCCACCUAAAUUUUGUGUAUACAUUUUGUCCAAGAAGUAAAUUGAGCAUAGUCUGAAGUCUUAUAAUGGCACAGAAUUGUGCUUUGCUUUUUUAAGAUAAUCAAGAACACAUUUUACAGAGUUUCAAUUCUGCACUUGAACUCAUGAUGUAUUUAUUUAGGAUUAUGUAUCUAUUAGUUAGACGUUUAUAUGUUUAGUAUCAACCAUGAAUUACUUAACGUAAAUGUUUUUUUGUUUUGGGUGACUGCAAGUGUCUUCUUUCGGUAUGCAGGCACUAGUUCUUCCUUGAAGAAGUUAUUCUAUAGACAAAGAAGCGAUCAAGCUUGUAGUGUAAUUCUAUAAAAUCUUCCAAAUGCUCAAUUAAAGAGAACAUCUGUUGCAUCAAACUGAUGCAAGUCCACAAUUUCCUUGCUAAUUGUGGCAUAAUAUUUAACUUAAUUUAUUGUUAUUUGGUACAAAAGUGGACACCAGUAUCUAUUUCUUGCCACCAAGUCGAGGUUUUCAAAUCUCGAGUGAAAUAUUCAGAAAUCUCGAGGUUUUCAAUCACAAUGUGCAAGACAGACUAAUAACAUAGAAGUCAUUUAACUUUAAGAAGUCAUCCAGCUGGGAUUGUAACAAUGAGCCCGAGGAUUCAACCUUUUAUCAUUAGCAGAAUUGUAACUUGCUUAUGGAUUUUGUUUGCAGAAUUGUAUGUUGUCAUACUGUUGAAACAUUACCAAUGGUGGAAUUUAUGAUAAAUUAAAUAAGAUUUACUAUCCAGUCAGAUGGAAUUUCUGUGUAGAGAACGUUCGUAAGGAUCUGAAUGUGCUUUGUGAUAUCACCAAUUCCAUAUUUCUUUUCUCCAACAUUUUAAGUUCUGUUUAAUUGUUUGAAUUAAACAUCCACGAAUUUUCUGUGCCUUGCAAUUCAUUUAUAUGGUUCUUUGUGCAGGGUGUUAUUGCUUAGCUUGCUUCCAACAAGAAUGUUUGGGAUGCCAUAAUGAAGAAUGAGAAAGUCAUGGAAUUCUACAGAACUUACAUGUCAACUGAAGCAACAGGAAGAUCGGUGAUCGCGGACUUUGUGCAUGAUGUUAAGCAUAAAGUGGUGGAAACAGUGAUCAAUAAAUAUAUCCAGCUUCCUUCAAGAACUUUUGGGGAUUUCAGCAGGAGCUUCCAGUUCAACCAACACAAAGACUAGCCAUGAAGACGAUAGGCCAUCAGUCAACUUUGCUACGGGUGCAUCCUUCAUGGCUCUGGCAAUUGCAGCAAUCUUAGUUGUCCUGCUCAAGAGAGCAUAGAUAGAUUGAGAUGCUACCACUAAAGAAUCCUCUACUGUGUGUGUUUGGAUGUACCCAAAAAGUGCCUAUAAACUCACCUUCUAAUAUAUUCAUUCAUAAUUUAUUUGCAUAUAAAA